rnacentral:rRNA from 1 species
UAGUCCACGCCGUAAACGAUGGGUGCUAGAUGUUGGAUUCUUUGAAUUCAGUGUCGUAGCUAACGUGUUAAGCACCCCGUCUGGGGAGUACGGUCGCAAGAUUAAAACUCAAAGGAAUUGACGGGGACCCGCACAAGCGGUGGAGCAUGUGGUUUAAUUCGAGGCAACGCGAAAAACCUUACCAAUUUUUGACAUGGUGGUCGCAGAUAUAAGAAAUUAUAUCCUUCAGUUAGGCUGGACCACACACAGGUGCUGCAUGGCUGUCGUCAGCUCGUGUCGUGAGAUGUUGGGUUAAGUCCCGCAACGAGCGCAACCCUCACCCUUAUUUGCUAACAUUAAGUUGAGAACUAUAAGGGAACUGCCGGUGCAAGCCGGAGGAAGGUGGGGAUGACGUCAAGUCUUCAUGGCCCUUAUGGAUUGGGCUACACACGUGCUACAAUGGUGGUUACAAUGGGACGCUACUUCGCGAGAAGAUGCUAAUCUCCAAAAACCAUCUCAGUUCGGAUUGCACU